UUUUUUUAUUAUCAGUAAAGCAGGCUGAUAGAAUCUGUCAUCUGCCUCACAGUCACUUGAAAAAAAUCCUAGUAUAAGUUUUGUAAUAGCUUAAUUUUAUCAUAUCUUAGUGGAACAUAGAGGAACACAGAACCACUUUCUGAAGUACCAGGGAGCAAAGAUAGCAUGAAAUUCUUUAAGGACUUGAUUGGAAGCACAUACUGGAAAGCAAGAAGUGAGAAGUCUUUAUUGAAGAGAUUCUUAAAAAAUACUACAAUGAAUAUUUUUGUGUGUUAUCACCUAUAUCUGUUACAUGGGAAAAGCUCUGAAGGAAAAGGCAAGUAACAACAGAGAAAGUGGUGGAAAGGUAGUCCUGAAGAUUCUGCAGUUCAGCUUGCUUUCAGCAAGGGAGUGAGCUCCCAAUACUUCUAUUUUCUAUGAAUUACUCUUUUGAGGCCCCCCUCACCUGUCUGCCUGUGAGUAGCCUUUACAAGUAUGUUUCCAGAAAACUUACAAAGACUAUGUCAGUGACUCUUAACUCGCAACUGUCAACUCUUCCUUUAUCCCCAGUCAUUGCUGCAUAAAGUUUGGGGAUAAAAGCUUGAGAGUCACCACUGUGGGAAAGUGGCAGUUGUAGUAAGAAUAAAUUUUAUUAUCUCUUUAAUAAUCCCUAAGGGUCUUCUUUAGAACU